AUUGAACGCUGGCGGCAGGCCUAACACAUGCAAGUCGAACGGUAACAGGAAGCAGCUUGCUGCUUUGCUGACGAGUGGCGGACGGGUGAGUAAUGUCUGGGAAACUGCCCGAUGGAGGGGGAUAACUACAGGAAACGGUAGCUAAUACCGCAUAACGUCGCAAGACCAAAGAGGGGGACCUUAGGGCCUCUUGCCAUCGGAUGUGCCCAGAUGGGAUUAGCUAGUAGGUGGGGUAACGGCUCACCUAGGCGACGAUCCCUAGCUGGUCUGAGAGGAUGACCAGCCACACUGGAACUGAGACACGGUCCAGACUCCUACGGGAGGCAGCAGUGGGGAAUAUUGCACAAUGGGCGCAAGCCUGAUGCAGCCAUGCCGCGUGUAUGAAGAAGGCCUUCGGGUUGUAAAGUACUUUCAGCGGGGAGGAAGGGAGUAAAGUUAAUACCUUUGCUCAUUGACGUUACCCGCAGAAGAAGCACCGGCUAACUCCGUG
rnacentral:rRNA from 1 species